AUUGAACGCUGGCGGCAUGCUUUACACAUGCAAGUCGAACGGCAGCGGGGGCUUCGGCCUGCCGGCGAGUGGCGAACGGGUGAGUAAUGCAUCGGAACGUACCCAGUCAUGGGGGAUAACUACGCGAAAGCGUAGCUAAUACCGCAUACGCCCUGAGGGGGAAAGCGGGGGAUCGCAAGACCUCGCGUGAUUGGAGCGGCCGAUGUCGGAUUAGCUAGUUGGUGGGGUAAAGGCCUACCAAGGCGACGAUCCGUAGCGGGUCUGAGAGGAUGAUCCGCCACACUGGGACUGAGACACGGCCCAGACUCCUACGGGAGGCAGCAGUGGGGAAUUUUGGACAAUGGGCGCAAGCCUGAUCCAGCAAUGCCGCGUGCAGGAAGAAGGCCUUCUGGGUUGUAAACUGCUUUUGCCAGGGGAUAAAAUUUCCAUGCGUGGAAACUGAAGGUACCUGGUGAAUAAGCCACGGCUAACUACGUGCCAGCAGCCGCGGUAAU
rnacentral:rRNA from 1 species